AAAUCCUUUGGCUAAAACAAGACGAUAUAGACCAUAGAUGACUGCAAGAAUAGCAACAUCAGAGAUGAUGAUCUCUUUGCGCUCACGGUCUGAAUAGAGUGGACUGUGAGGAUCAUAGUGGGAAGUCCAUCUUUCGUACUUGUGGCCGGAUAUAUUGAACAUCAAGUAUAAAGGAAAACCAAUAAGGAGUGUGGUAAUCCAAACAAACACUCGGCCAGGUGGAUUGUUAAGGAUUUUGUAAUAGUUGCGGAUGUUGGACUUAAAUCUUGGGACAUACACCUCGUCAUUUUCAAGGGAUUGGGUGUUGGCAUGGUGACGACGAUGACUAAUUUUCCAAGAGAAGUAAGGGACGAGAAGAGAUGAAUGGACAACAAGGCCAACAAGGUCGUCGACCCAUUGGUAGUCACUAAAGGCAUGGUGGUCACACUCGUGGCCUACAACCCAAGCCCCAGUUAGGACACACCCUUGAACAGCAAUGUAAGCGGCCCAACCCAAGUAGUUAAGAGGACGGGGGAGGAG
rnacentral:lncRNA from 1 species